CAAGGGACUAAGGACCUUCCAAAUCAUUUGGAAGCAACCAGAGACUUAACAAACCAGCAGUUUAUUUCAUCAGUGAUUCAAGCCUGAUCAAAGACCUUUGCAAUUGUUCCAAGUCACAGUGAAUGGUUUGUGGAACCUUUGUACACAUGCUCCCUCAAGUACCAAUGUUUCAUUCAUGCUCAGAACAACAAUAAAGGAUAUCCGAAUGCCAUUGUGGAUUAGAUCAUCUGUUUUGUAGCAGGAUCUGGACACAUAAUGGAGAGAUUGUCUGGAAAGCUGUGCCAGAGCAAUCAAGGACCAUCAACAUUUAAAGACACUUCCCACACUGCCCUAUUUGGACAGUGAGGUUUUUUGCAUGGAGCUGGAACCCCAAGAGGUGACAGAGGCUGUUUCUAAAAGGUGGUGCUUUCUAACCCCAGGAAGAUAUUCCAUCAUCAGAUGCUCAGAAGGAAUGGCACCGGGAGAGACUUUGCCUCCCUUAUGGAUUUGUACUAAA